rnacentral:rRNA from 1 species
UGUCCAGACUCCUACGGGAGGCAGCAGUGGGGAAUAUUGCACAAUGGGGGAAACCCUGAUGCAGCGACGCCGCGUGAGUGAAGAAGUAUUUCGGUAUGUAAAGCUCUAUCAGCAGGGAAGAAAAAAGACGGUACCUGACUAAGAAGCCCCGGCUAACUACGUGCCAGCAGCCGCGGUAAUACGUAGGGGGCAAGCGUUAUCCGGAUUUACUGGGUGUAAAGGGAGCGUAGACGGUAUGGCAAGUCUGAAGUGAAAGCCCAGGGCUUAACCCUGGGACUGCUUUGGAAACUGUUAGACUAGAGUGCUGGAGAGGUAAGUGGAAUUCCUAGUGUAGCGGUGAAAUGCGUAGAUAUCAGGAGGAACACCGGUGGCGAAGGCGGCCUGCUGGACUGCGACUGACGUUGAGGCCCGAAAGCGUGGGGAGCAAACAGGAUUAGAUACCCCCGUA